GCUAGUAAUGGCAGGUCAGCAUACUGCCGUGAAUACGUUCCCGGGCCUUGUACACACCGCCCGUCACACCAUGAGAGUUGGGAAUACCCGAAGCCUGUGAGCUAACGUUAAGAGGCAGCAGUCGAAGGUAGAAUCAAUGAUUGGGGUGAAGUCGUAACAAGGUAUC
rnacentral:rRNA from 1 species